ensembl:lncRNA
GGGGGAUUGCCUCGCGAGUGGGCGGGAAAAUGAGACCGCGAAAAAGCAAGUAGCGAGGCGCGCUCUAUAGCGGAACGUUCUCGUGCGGUUACCAUGACGCUGAGAGUGGGUGAAUCCCGCCCUCUCGCGCUGUUCUGACCGCUGGCUUGGUAUUUGUCUGAGCUUCCCCUGGACCAGCUUCAUUCCUUGGACCAGCCCUGGAUUUAACAUCUGGUAUGCCAUCCACAGGAAGAUGAUUUGGGAUCCAGAUGAACCUAUUUUUGACCUUAGUCAUAAUGUGACCCAUAAAAAGUACUUUGUCAAAAGAUUACAGAUCAUUCCAAAUAGAGGGGCUUUCCAGCACCAAACACAAAGACUCUCGAGAUACAGCAAAGACAGUGUGACAUCAGCUCUGAGGAACUGGAAGAAGCUGCUGUCAUGUGAUGCUGAGUCAAGAUGAGCUCAUGAAAAACAAGGCACCUGACAUGCAUACUGUCUUACUCCAGAUAUUUGAAGCUUAUUGCCACAUGCUGGGAUGGCUGAUCUGCUCAUCACAUUUGUGCUGAUGUAAUUUACAGGAAAG